rnacentral:rRNA from 1 species
GACGAACGCUGGCGGCGUGCUUAACACAUGCAAGUCGAACGGAAAGGCCCUGCUUUUGUGGGGUGCUCGAGUGGCGAACGGGUGAGUAACACGUGAGUAACCUGCCCUUGACUUUGGGAUAACUUCAGGAAACUGGGGCUAAUACCGGAUAGGAGCUCCUGCUGCAUGGUGGGGGUUGGAAAGUUUCGGCGGUUGGGGAUGGACUCGCGGCUUAUCAGCUUGUUGGUGGGGUAGUGGCUUACCAAGGCUUUGACGGGUAGCCGGCCUGAGAGGGUGACCGGCCACAUUGGGACUGAGAUCCGGCCCAGACUCCUACGGGAGGCAGCAGUGGGGAAUAUUGCACAAUGGGCGGAAGCCUGAUGCAGCAACGCCGCGUGCGGGAUGACGGCCUUCGAGUUGUAAACCGCUUUCGCCUGUGACGAAGCGUGAGUGACGGUAAUGGGUAAAGAAGCACCGGCUAACUACG